GUGUCAGCCGCCGCGGUAAUACGGAGGGGGCUAGCGUUGCUCGGAAUGACUGGGCGUAAAGCGCGCGUAGGCGGAUGGACAAGUUGGGGGUGAAAGCCCGGGGCUCAACCUCGGAACUGCCUUCAAAACUGUUCAUCUAGAGGCCGGGAGAGGGCAGUGGAAUUCCCAGUGUAGAGGUGAAAUUCGUAGAUAUUGGGAAGAACACCGGUGGCGAAGGCGGCUGCCUGGACCGGACCUGACGCUGAAGGGCGAAAGCGUGGGGAGCAAACAGGAUUAGAUACCCUGGUAGUCCACGCCGUAAACGAUGGGGGCUAGAUGUCGGGGGUCUUAGGCCUUCGGUGUCGCAGCUAACGCGUUAAGCACCCCGCCUGGGGAGUACGGCCGCAAGGUUAAACUUAAAUGAAGUGACGGGG
rnacentral:rRNA from 1 species